rnacentral:tRNA from 1 species
AAUAAAGUGCCUGAAUUUUAAAAGGAUUAUCUUGAUAGGGUAAAUCAUGUGUGUUACACCUUUAUUA